rnacentral:misc_RNA from 1 species
UCCGAGUUGACCCCGGCAGUCUCCUGCGAGUCCCCGCCAUUACGCGCUGGCAACACAGGACAAGGGUUGCGCUCGUUGCGGGACUUAACCCAACAUCUCGCGACACGAGCUGACGACAACCAUGCACCACCUGUGUAGGGCCCCGAAGGACACCGUAUCUCUACGGCUUUUCCCUACAUGUCAAACCCAGGUAUGGUUCUUCGCGUUGCCUCGAAUUAAGCAACAUGCUCCGCCGCUUGUGCGGGCCCCCGUCAAUUCCUUUGAGUUUUAACCUUGCGGCCGUAAUCCCCAGUCGGGGAACUUAAUGCGUUAGCUGCGGCACGGGAGGGGUCAAUACCCCCCACACCUAGUUCCCAUCGUUUACGGCGUGGACUAC